ACUUUUAAAGGAUAACAGCUAAUCCACUGGUCUUAGGAACCACCCAUCUUGGUGCAAAUCCAAGUAAAAGUACCCAACAAC
rnacentral:tRNA from 1 species